ACGGCAGCACAGAGAAGCCUCGCUUCUCGGGCGGCGUGCGGCGAACGGGUCGAGUAAACAUAACGGAGCGUCACCGAGUAGAUGGGGGAGAGACUAAUCGAAAGAUUAAGCUAAUAACCGCAUAAUACUCUGAGGAGGAAAGCAGGGGACCUUUCGGGCCUUGCGUUUAUUUCGAGCGGCCGAAUAUCUGAAUUAGCUAGUUGGUGGGGUAAAGGCCUACCAAGGCGAACGAUCAGUAGCGGGUCUGAGAGGAUGAACCGCCACACUGGGACUGAAGAACACGGCCCAGAACUCCUACGGGAGGCAGCAGUGGGGAAAUUUUUGGAACAAUGGGCGCAAGCCUGAUUCCAGCCAUGCCGCGUGUCUGAAAAAGGCCUUCGGGUUUGUAAAGGACUUUUGUCAGGGAAGAAAAAGGACAGGGUUAAUACCCCUGUCUGAAUGACGGUACCUGAAGAAUAAGCACCGGCUAACUACGUGCCAGCAGCCGCGGUAAUACGUAGGGUGCGAGCGUUAAUCGGAAUUACUGGGCGUAAAGCGAGCGCAGACGGUUACUUAAGCAGGAUGUGAAAUCCCCAGGCUCAACCUGGGAACUGCGUUCUGAACUGGGUGACUAGAGUGUGUCAGAGGGAGGUAGAAUUCCACGUGUAGCAGUGAAAUGCGUAGAGAUGUGGAGGAAUACCGAUGGCGAAGGCAGCCUCCUGGGAUAACACUGACGUUCAUGCUCGAAAGCGUGGGUAGCAAACAGGAUUAGAUACCCUGGUAGUCCACGCCCUAAACGAUGUCAAUUAGCUGUUGGGCAACUUGAUUGCUUAGUAGCGUAGCUAACGCGUGAAAUUGACCGCCUGGGGAGUACGGUCGCAAGAUUAAAACUCAAAGGAAUUGACGGGGACCCGCACAAGCGGUGGAUGAUGUGGAUUAAUUCGAUGCAACGCGAGGAACCUUACCUGGGUUUGACAUGCACCAGACGGUUGUAGAGAUACGUACCUCCCUUUGUGGUUGGUGUGCAGGUGGUGCAUGGUUGUCGUCAGCUCGUGUCGUGAGAUGUUGGGUUAAGUCCCGCAACGAGCGCAACCCUUGUCUUAUGUUGCCAGCACUUUGGGUGGGGACUCAUGAGAGACUGCCGGGGUUAACUCGGAGGAAGGUGGGGAUGACGUCAAAUCAUCAUGCCCUUUAUGCCCAGGGCUUCACACAUGCUACAAUGGUUAGUACAACGCGCAGCAAACCUGUGAGGGUGAGCGAAUCGCUGAAAGCUAAUCUCAGUUCGGAUUGGGGUCUGCAACUCGACCCCAUGAAGUCGGAGUCGCUAGUAAUCGCAGAUCAGCAAUGCUGCGGUGAAUACGUUCCCGGGCCUUGUACACACCGCCCGUC
rnacentral:rRNA from 1 species